UGUUGGUGGGACGAUAUCAAGGAAACUCGACAAAUAUAAUUAAAAGUGUUUGUCGACUUUUCGUGUAAGCGUGUUUUCACCUCACCCACGCCAACACGACAUGGCAGAAAUCAGCCACCAUAUGUUCUAGUGUUUUAUGUACGGAAAAUCAGAUAUUACUUUGAGAAAUGUGUUUGUUCGUUAUAAUGUUAAAAAAAAACAUGCAUGAGGCAAGGCAGUACUUCAGUCGUUCUUUGCGUUAGCCUUCACCUUCUAAUCUAGGUUACUACGCUCAAAUCAAACAAGAAAUAUUAUACAGGCUAAGUAUAAAUAUAAUCGUAUAAAAGUAGUGUAAAAAAUUCGGUUAAGUUCAAAACAAGUGGAUCAAAUCUUAUUACAGCGCAAUUAAAGUGUACCGAAAAAGAUAAAAUUAGACACUGUCCUUAAAGUGUGUCUUCAAGUCAUGCUUAGUACGGAACGGACUUUUGUACUUUCCUACCGGUAAUUCUGCUUCUGUGUAGAAUAUAUAUUCAAAGGAUUACUUCUAGAUAGGAUUUAUAGGAGAUAUAUUCAAAGGCACCAUCUUUCGAAGGAGAAGAAACUUAAGAUGAAGAAACUUUGUGAUAGAUCUCUAAUGGAUAAAUUCAAAAAGAAGAUGAAAUAGUCGAAAACGGAAUACAGUUCUUUGUUGUAGAAUUAUGUGCAAAAUGUGCUUAGUAUACGAGACAACUUCACAACAAGGAUACCGUUUCUGUUUAAAUGCAAGAUUGCAAAGGGAGAAAACGUUUUAAAACCGAGUUGAUGUUAAACAAUGAUAGGUAAAACAGUUCCAAUAGAAACAACCGCCUUCCAAGAAGAAUGCACCCUAAACAAUACCCACGCCCAAAUGGAGCUUUAGGAUAGAGAAUUUAAGGAUGUGGAUAUAAAGGGCUUCUAAAUACAAAUACGUAAAAUUAGUAAAACAAUUAUAAGACAACUAGGACUAAACAAUUCAGAAAAAAUGCAGGUGUAAAUAAACAAAACUUGGGACUCAA
rnacentral:lncRNA from 1 species